UUUUUUAAUUCCAGAUGAAUGCAUUUCAGUAAUUUGGCCAUGCGCAGCUAGAUACCUUCCAAGUAACCAUGGAUCAUUUUCCAGAUACUUAUGAAUUUCCAUCUUCCUCUUUAAUGAGGUUUCGCACCAAUUUAUCGAUGGAACACAAAUUUAGAGCAGCAAAUGCUUGGAAUGGUGUAAUAUAAGUGAGCAAUUCUCUUGCAGGAAUGAAGGCGAGGAUCGUUUUGGGGAAGGUUUAUAAUUACAUUCGGUAUGAUUUGAAGCAAAUUGCAUUUCCUUCGUCGUUGCCAGAUCCUCCGCAGCUUCGAAAGCCUACAUAGCAUGAACGAUUAUUGCUGUGGCUGCAAGAAGAGGAAUGGAGACAUUAAAACCAACUUUGCAGCGGGUUUAUAUGACUAGAGCUUCUGCAUAUAGAGAAGCAAUUUUAUAGAUGGGUAUCAAGAAGGUAUUCAGCAAGUCAUGGAGAAGAAGAAAGUUUCUGAUUCUCAAUCGGGAAGCGAUAAAAUCAAAUAUAAAUUUCUGAUCCUAUUUAUGCUUCAUGUUUAAAGGAUUGGGCAGUUCAGUUUGCAGUUGUAAAAAUUGUUUGAGUUGAGAUAAAAUUUUAUCUCCGGAGGUGCUAUUUGAUAUAUGUACAGUUUUGAGAAUCUCAUAAUAUAAACUACAAACACACAGUCAUUAGAAGGAUGGCAAUUGUCAGUUAUUUUAAUUUGUAAGGUCUGGUUUACAAUUGAUCUCAAGUUGGAUAAGUUUUCCUCAACGCUUCAGGUGUGAAUUGUACAUUGCAGCCGGCCCCUACAUUCACAUUAAGACCACUCAAGCUUUUUAAUCAUGUCAUGAGGUAUCUGCAUGGUGGAUUGAAUGUCCGGUACAACCAUAACUCUAUGAUUUGACAAGAAAACGUUGGACGCUGAUUUUGCAAAUUGAGAAAGAAAUGUAGUGGCAUAGUUAGGUCAUAAGAUGCUGUGAAGAUGCUCAAAGUACACUUUAUUGUGGUUAGAUGGAAGGCUGAAAAUGACUGGCGUUACAGGGAUUGAAGGGCCCAUUUAGAAUUGGGUCGAGCUUCCAAUGUUCGAGCUACCAUCUGACUUUUCCAGCGGAGCCGGAAUUGUUGAAAACUAAUGAGUGUAUAAUUUGAAGAGUUUGUUCAAGAAGUAUGAUAGAUCCUGAUAAAGAAUCGAGCGACUCUUAUCUUUAUCAACUAAUGAUUGUUUGGCGUCGUAGUUUCACAGAAACUUAUGCAGGCAUUGAAACCAAUUACCAUCGGUGAGUACCGAUAUCGACUAAUUUUGGUGUUGUUGCUUGUUUCUGCUUGAGUCACGAAAGUAUUUUUAAUGCACUAUUGGGUGAAGUUUGCUGGGUCAGAAAUAUUCAAAAGCAAAUCAACUGAUUGAUGAAAAGAUAAGUGGAAUGAACCGUGGACGAAUUCUCUCUUGCUGUUACUAUAUAUGUACUGUACUUAGUCAUGCAUAAUUGAAUUAUGCUUGCCAAACAUAUCCCUUAGUAGGAGUCCUUUCAUUCCUUCGAUUAGCAAUUUCUUCGGUGCCAAUGAUAGCUUGCACACAUAUCUGGGGACCCCCUACUUUCAAAGCCACUGAUGAAGAUUGGAAAAUCAUCAACCAGGAAGGUCAAUGGUUAUCUCUCCUGUCUGCACAUUUAUGGGCCCCGCAAGCAAGAUUUCCUAACUCACCUUUUCAUCAUUCCCACAGAAAAGGCAUGUUCAUCAAACAAAGUUCAAUUUGUAGGAAUUGAAUACAGGAAUAGGCAUGGCAUGAAAUUAACAACCUCUUGAGCAGCAGUUCAGAUCAGGCGGAUUCACAUAAAAAAAUGGUUGAAAGGACACGACAAUUGAGAGGCAAAUCUUAAUAAUAAAUAAGGUAAGAAACAAAGGUUAGAUUUUGCUAGAACUUAUAAAAGAGUAAUAGUAGCUGUUUCCGAUCCAUCCAAUCCCACCUACUCAAAUAAAGUGGCACUGGCACUGGCACAGCUUCUUCCCCCCUUUUCCUCCGCUCAUAUUUUGAGUCUCUCUAAAAAAAAUCUUGAGCCAGAAUGUCAAAUAGAUUCUUCAUUCCUGGCCUUCAACGACCCUAGUUUCCAAUUUACAUGUAUGACGUAAGCCCUAGGUAGCUUUCUUCUUCCUGGACCCCACUUUUCCUCUCUCCUCAUCCCCCCCACCCCACCCCUGACCUUGGAAAGUCGGCCAGAAAACCUGGGAUUUAUUUCUCUAUCUAUUUUCCCAUAUUUUAUUUAGUGGGGAUGACUCUUCCCAAGUGUAGUGGGAAAAAGUGUGUUUUGCAUUACAGGGACGUCACAUCCACACAUCUCUAUACUUCAUAUUUCGCCUGCUUGAUAUCUUGUGGGAAAGUGGAAUCCUGUUACAACCUCAUCUUAGAACUCCCAUAAAAUGACACACCCGUUACAGUAAAAUAUAAAUAUGUGUGUUUGUGUAGAUAAUCAAGCAGAUUUUCCUGUGAUUUGUUAGUUUCGAGAGAGAGAGAGAGGUGUUGUAGAAAUAAAAACUGGAAGGGGUUGGUUGGUCCAUAGUGUGUAAUGCUCUGCUAAGAAGAGUUGGCUUUGAACUUUUUGUGCAUAUGAUUUCUGUAAGUGAAGAAAGGAAGAGUGUGAUAUCAUUUGUGCAGAGUUUUGGUCCGAUAUCAUUUCUCUGAUGCUUCUGUCCAUGUACGAUGUUCCCCUUACAAUCUGGAAACCUACCAUUUCCUCUCUCUUCCCAUUUCCUUUCUCCUUUUCUUCUUCAACUCUCUCUCUAAAAAAAAAGAACUAAAUUUGUAGCAUCUUCUUAUUCAUUGAUUUGGAUUGCUACAAUGUUUGAGGCCUAAAUCAUCUUUUGUGGGAUUCCAAACUUUUAUAUUCAUUUUAUUUUAGCCAAUAUGUGACCCACAUGUUAUAUUUCUUUUCAUUUAGUUAUAUUUUUGUCCUUAAAAUGGGUAAGCAUAUGACAUUGAAUCAUAUCAUUAAAAUGAGCAAUCU